rnacentral:rRNA from 1 species
ACUCAAAGGAAUUGACGGGGGCCCGCACAAGCGGAGGAACAUGUGGUUUAAUUCGAUGAUACGCGAGGAACCUUACCCGGGCUCGAACGGCUAAUGAAUAUAGAUGAAAGUUUAUAGCUAGCAAUAGCAUUAGUCGAGGUGCUGCAUGGUUGUCGUCAGCUCGUGCCGUGAGGUGUCGGCUUAAGUGCCAUAACGAGCGCAACCCCUAUCGGUAGUUACCAUCAGGUUAAGCUGGGGACUCUACUGAGACUGCCACCGUAAGGUGUGAGGAAGGUGGGGAUGACGUCAAAUCAGCACGGCCCUUACGUCCGGGGCGACACACGUGUUACAAUGGGGGGUACAAAGGGUCGCUACCAGGCAACUGGAUGCUAAUCUCAAAAACCUCUCCCAGUUCGGAUCGGAGUCUGCAACUCGACUCCGUGAAGCUGGAUUCGCUAGUAAUCGCGCAUCAGCCAUGGCGCGGUGAAUACGUUCCCGGGCCUUGCACACACCGCCCGU